AGAAUGCCUCGGGCCGGCCCAACGCUUUAAAGGGACAGCACGGGGCGCGCGCUUCCCGCUUAAAAGCUUUAAUCCCCGAAUUUGACUGGUGCAGGCCCUUCUAAUGCACUUCCUAAAAACUGAAGUAUAAUAAUACAUACAGGAAAGUGCUAGUGUGCCCUCGCGUUUCCACAGACAGCACGCCCUGUACACAGACACCAGCGGCCCUCCGGGACCUGCGCAGGUGGCGUCGCCCGGCGUUGUCUCCGGAGUCGAUUCGGGCCGGGGCACCUCCCCGGGCGACCAGGCCCCUUCUUGAUCAUCGCUGGUACGGAUGAGAGCGGCAGUGGGCAUUUGGAAAGCACCUGGGGCCGCGCCCGGGCGCAGUGCCCCCAUGUGGCCUCCCACCCCGGGCGGGCAGGACGAUUCCUGCCCAUCUGGAAGACCAGGAACCUGCGCGUUCACAGGGUUCGGAAGCCCGGGCUGCGCCUUCCCGCGGGGCCGGCUGCCGGGCUGGGGGCUCUUCCCGCCUCUGCAUGCACAGAGCCCGCGGUGCACGAACCUGCUCCCCGCCAGCCCCGCGGACUGGCAGGGCCGCUCUGGAGUCACCCGCGCCCGCUCCGCAGUGCGCAAACUCACUUCGCAGCGGGCUCUCCCGGGGCCAGCCCUUCCCUCCUGGGCGGGCAUUUUCACCUCCAGGUACAAGGGGGUGGUCCCCAGAGGAGGACUCAGGGGCUUAAGGAGAAGCUGAGGCCCGGUCCUCUGGCCUCAACGACUGCACAUUCUCGCCGCCUGCUUCACUUCUUAGAGCCUUGGAGUGGACUGCCGAACCCUGAGAGGGAGGGCCACUGGCAGCGAUGGACGAAUGGCCCGUGGCAGGAGUGCUGGUGUCCUCGAAGCAGGCAGCCCGGAAGCACUGGCCCCUUCAUGGCCAGCCCAGAGCUUUGGGGGGCAGCGGAUUCCGAUGGCAGUUGAUUCGGGAAGGUGGAGGAAGCCGAGGGACGGGGCAAUGCCCAGGACCCAGGGUUUCCCGGAGCUGCUGACCAGAUUUCCAGGCUUGUGGGCCACCUCAACCUGGCCACUGUGCAGGGAGCUGUUGCUGCUGCCUGGAGAUCCUAUGGCUCCCUGCCAGCCCAGGUCAGUGGGAUUUUAUGUUAAAUUCCUUUUCCCCUGGUAACUAUGCCAGGACAGCCAGUUGGGGGAUUCAUGUCACCAUCCCCCAUCCCCAGGAUCUCCACAGGGGCCCAUCAGGGCCCUGUGGGCCUUCACCUGACAGCUUUAUGCUGAUUGGCCACGCUCAACCCAGGUAUCCAGAAAGCCACUUCCAGUCCUCACUAUACCACUGUCCUUCUCUUCUUCCCCCGGCCUUAGCUCCCUGGUACAGAAAGAGCAGGGUAGACAGAGGAGCCCAUCUUGUUGACACGGACUGUGUGGUUUCUUCCUUGUGUCAAAUUCUCUCCUUCCACUCCGUUCUCCUUCCCACCAGCCUCGUUCUCCAUUCAUCACGUCCGCUCCCCUGGCCAUCCUCUAAGGUGGCCCCUCUAGAUUGCCCCUGUCUGCAGUGACAACACUCCACUUUGACUGGCACAGCCCCAGUUCCAGAACCGGAGUCCCUGCCCCUGGCAGCCCCUCAAUCCCAAAGAAAUCCGGAUGGUUGAUCGCCUGGGUUGUCCCUUCCUUAAGGCCCCUCCAUCCUUGCCAGCAUCCUGACCCUCACCAGGGGCCGCUCCCUUGUCCACCUCCCUCGCUACUGUGGGCUCAUGAGAGAGGGACACCCUGUCCACCUCGGUGCCUGCCAGGAGGGACACACAGCAGGUGCUCAAUAAAGACCCUCACAAUGAA